UGGGGAAUAUUGCGCAAUGGGCGAAAGCCUGACGCAGCAACGCCGCGUGAGUGAUGAAGGCCUUCGGGUCGUAAAGCUCUGUCGGAGGGAACGAAUGCUCCUGAAGUUAACAGCCUCAGGAGGUGACGGUACCCUCAAAGGAAGCACCGGCUAACUCUGUGCCAGCAGCCGCGGUAAUACAGAGGGUGCAAGCGUUGUUCGGAUUUACUGGGCGUAAAGGGCGCGUAGGCGGCAUGACAAGUCACUUGUGAAAUCUCUGGGCUUAACCCAGAACGGCCAAGUGAUACUGUCGCGCUAGAGUGCAGAAGGGGCAAUCGGAAUUCUUGGUGUAGCGGUGAAAUGCGUAGAUAUCGGGAGGAACAUCAGUGGCGAAGGCGGCCCUCUGGUCCAGUACUGACACUCAAGUGCGAAAGCGUGGGGAGCAAACAGGAUUAGAUACCCCGGUAGUCCCUGAGCGGGCUGGCAAGGCGCAU
rnacentral:rRNA from 1 species